CGAUGGCGACCGGCGCACGGGUGAGUAACGCGUAUGCAACCUGCCCGAUACCGGGGUAUAGCCCAUGGAAACGUGGAUUAACACCCCAUAGUACUUUUAUCCUGCAUGGGAUGUGAGUUAAAUGUUUAAGGUAUCGGAUGGGCAUGCGUCCUAUUAGUUAGUUGGCGGGGUAACAGCCCACCAAGACGAUGAUAGGUAGGGGUUCUGAGAGGAAGGUCCCCCACAUUGGAACUGAGACACGGUCCAA
rnacentral:rRNA from 1 species